UACGUAGGGUGCAGGCGUUAAUCGGAAUUACUGGGCGUAAAGCGUGCGCAGGCGGUCUUUUAAGUCAGAUGUGAAAUCCCCGGGCUUAACCUGGGAACUGCGUUUGAAACUGGAAGGCUAGAGUGUGGCAGAGGGGGGUGGAAUUCCACGUGUAGAGGUGAAAUUCGUAGAUAUUGGGAAGAACACCAGUGGCGAAGGCGGCUAACUGGUCCAGCACUGACGCUGAGGUGCGAAAGCGUGGGGAGCAAACAGG
rnacentral:rRNA from 1 species